rnacentral:lncRNA from 1 species
GAUGAAAACCUCAAGUUCAGCCGAAGCUGCAGGGCAGAGGAAUUCGGUUUCAUGCCCAGUGGGGAGCCCAGGGCAGGGCUUGAACUCACGACCCUGAGAUGGAGACCUGAGCUGAGAUCAAGAGUUAGAUCCUUAACUGGCUGAGACACCCAGGCGCCCCUACCAUUUUCUUAACAUGAAAGAGGUAAGAAUAGGAUAUGGCAU